CCUUAGAGUUUGAUCCUGGCUCAGGACGAACGCUCGUGGAGCGCCUAACACAUGCAAGUCGAACGAGCGAGAGGAGGUUUACUUUCUCAAGCGAGUGGCGAACGGGUGAGUAACGCGUGAGGAACCUGCCUCAAAGAGGGGGACAACAGUUGGAAGCGACUGCUAAUACCGCAUAAGCCCACGACCCGGCAUCGGGUAGAGGGAAAAGGAGCAAUCCGCUUUGAGAUGGCCUCGCGUCCGAUUAGCUAGUUGGUGAGGUAAUGGCCCACCAAGGCGACGAUCCAUAGCCGGCCUGAGAGGGUGAACGGCCACAUUGGGACUGAGACACGGCCCAGACUCCUACGGGAGGCAGCAGUGGGGAAUAUUGCACAAUGGGGGAAACCCUGAUGCAGCGACGCCGCGUGGAGGAAGAAGGUCUUCGGAUUGUAAACUCCUGUUGUUGAGGAAGAUAAUGACGGUACUCAACAAGGAAGUGACGGCUAACUACGUGCCAGCAGCCGCGGUAAAACGUAGGUCACAAGCGUUGUCCGGAAUUACUGGGUGUAAAGGGAGCGCAGGCGGGAAGACAAGUUGGAAGUGAAAUCCAUGGGCUCAACCCAUGAACUGCUUUCAAAACUGUUUUUCUUGAGUAGUGCAGAGGUAGGCGGAAUUCCCGGUGUAGCGGUGGAAUGCGUAGAUAUCGGGAGGAACACCAGUGGCGAAGGCGGCCUACUGGGCACCAACUGACGCUGAGGCUCGAAAGUGUGGGUAGCAAACAGGAUUAGAUACCCUGGUAGUCCACACCGUAAACGAUGAUUACUAGGUGUUGGAGGAUUGACCCCUUCAGUGCCGCAGUUAACACAAUAAGUAAUCCACCUGGGGAGUACGACCGCAAGGUUGAAACUCAAAGGAAUUGACGGGGGCCCGCACAAGCGGAGGAACAUGUGGUUUAAUUCGAUGAUACGCGAGGAACCUUACCCGGGCUCAAACGUCGGGCGAAUCAUCCUGAAAGGGGUGAGCCAGCAAUGGCGGCCGACGAGGUGCUGCAUGGUUGUCGUCAGCUCGUGCCGUGAGGUGUCGGCUUAAGUGCCAUAACGAGCGCAACCCCCGUCCCGUGUUGCCAGCAUUCAGUUGGGGACUCGCGGGAGACUGCCGGCGUCAAGCCGGAGGAAGGUGGGGACGACGUCAAGUCAUCAUGCCCCUUAUGCCCUGGGCUGCACACGUGCUACAAUGGCCGGUACAGAGGGUUGCCACCCCGCGAGGGGGAGCGGAUCCCGGAAAGCCGGUCCCAGUUCGGAUCGCAGGCUGCAACCCGCCUGCGUGAAGUCGGAGUUGCUAGUAAUCGCGGAUCAGCAUGCCGCGGUGAAUACGUUCCCGGGCCUUGCACACACCGCCCGUCA
rnacentral:rRNA from 1 species